GACGGAAGGUGCAAGCGUUGCUCGGAAUCACUGGGCGUAAAGGGUGCGUAGGCGGCCGCGCAAGUCUGGCGUGAAAGCCCCGGGCUCAGCCCGGGAAGGGCGCUCGAAACGGCGCGGCUCGAGUGCCGGAGGGGAGAGUGGAAUUCCUGGUGUAGCGGUGAAAUUCGUAGAUAUUCGGAAGAACACCAGUGGCGAAGGCGACUUACUGGACACAUAUUGACGCUGAGGUGCGAAAGCGUGGGGAGCAAACAGG
rnacentral:rRNA from 1 species